rnacentral:misc_RNA from 1 species
GAUGAAGAACGUAGCGAAAUGCGAUACUUGGUGUGAAUUGCAGAAUCCCGUGAACCAUCGAGUCUUUGAACGCAAGUUGCGCCCGAAGCCAUUAGGCCGAGGGCACCCCUGCCUGGGCGUCACACGUCGUUGCCCCCCCAUCUACUCCUUCGGGAUUGCGGGGGGCGGAUGAUGGCCUCCCGUGCGCCUCGUCGCGCGGUUGGCAUAAAUGCCAAGUCCUCGGCGACGCACGCCACGACAAUCGGUGGUUGCGAAACCUCGGUUGCCCGUCGUGUGCGGUCGUCGCGCAUCGAGGGCUCGAAAAAAUUGCCGGGCUCCGGCUCGGCUUUCAACGCGACCCCAGGUCAGGCGGGGUUACCCGCUGAAUUUAAGCAUAUCAAUAAGCGGAGGA